rnacentral:tRNA from 2 species
UGGGGGAUCGUCUAACGGCAAGACGACGGGUUCUGGCCCCGUUAAUCCAGGUUCGAAUCCUGGUCUCCCAGCCA